AUGCGACCUUUCAGUUUCUACAAGAACUCAAACAUCACUAUUCUUCUCUCCCGCAUGAAAACGGCGUCUUGCGCUUCUACCUCUUUCUUCUUCCUCUGGUUUGCCGCUGUGACCACCACUAGUCACCACCGUACGCAGUCUCAUCUCAACAUUCUUCUACCUCUCCUCUUCCGAUUCUUUCAAAAUUCGAGCUUCAAUCAUCUUGUCUUUGAAGCGUGUUACCUGCGAGAAAUCCUGAAGAUGGAUUCAGAGCAUUGCGUGAUGUUGCAUUGUUGA